AUGAACCCUACCCGCAAGCUAUGGCCAUCCAAGGUAAGUGCGGGCAAAAGCCCGCCGCCAUAGCGUCCCGCAAGGGAUAGGGUAGGGAAGGAGGA
rnacentral:ncRNA from 1 species